rnacentral:rRNA from 1 species
CCCCUAGUAACGGCGAGUGAAGCGGGAAGAGCUCAAAUUUAAAAUCUGGCAAUCUUUGAUUGUCUGAAUUGUAAUCUAGAGAAGCAUGUUCUGUGCUGGACUGUGUACAAGUUUCCUGGAUAUGGAACAUCAUAGAGGGUGAGAAUCCCGUCCUUGACACAGACUCCCAGUACUUUUGUGAUGUGCUCUCAACGAGUCGAGUUGUUUGGGAUUGCAGCUCAAAAUGGGAGGUAAAUUCCUUCUAAAGCUAAAUAUUGGCAAGAGACCGAUAGCGAACAAGUACCGUGAGGGAAAGAUGAAAAGUACUUUGGAAAGAGAGUUAAACAGUCCGUGAAAUUGUUAAAAGGGAAACGCUUGAAGUCAGUCAUGUUUGCUUGGAUUCAACCUUACUUAGGUUUGGUGCAUUUCCUUGCCAAUGGGUCAGCGUUCAUGUCAUUUCCUGGAAAAGGGCUGAGGGAAUGUAGCUCCUUUGGGAGUGUUAUAGCUUUUAAUUCGGAUGCAGGGAAAUGAUAUGGAGUGGUACAGCACACUUCUAUGUGGUGCUUGUGCUGGCAUAAUGGCUUUAAACGACCCGUCUUGAAACACGGACCAAGGAGUCUAACAUAUCUGCNAGUGUUUGAGUGUUUUUUUGGGUGGCACUGGUGNCCCGAGCUGACCCUUGUGUGACGCAUCGGAGGNAGAGCAUAUAUGUUGGGACCCGAAAGAUGGUGAACUAUGCCUGAAUAGGGUGAAGCCAGAGGAAACUCUGGUGGAGGCUCGUAGCGAUUCUGACGUGCAAAUCGAUCGUCAAAUUUGGGUAUAGGGGCG